AAGAAGAAAAAAAAAGAAGGUAUGGCCGUUAUUUGGACCGGUACGAAACAGGUACAAUUUAUGUACCGGACCAGUUGCCAUACCGGCUGGUACGGUACAAAAUUAAAAACAAUGGUUUUAAUCCAUAUAUUGCUUCUCUCAUUUCUAUUUUGACAAAGCCUUAUUCAUUUUGCAUGUUGAUUUCCUGUUGUUUGGAUUUUGAAAAUUGAAAAAGCUUGGCAGACACAUUGUGAUUUAGUAAUGUUGAAUUAUUUUAUUUGUUCCUUUAAAACAUUCUGUUUUAAUCCAUAUAUUGCUCACUCAUUUUUGUUUUGAUGGUCUUAUUCAUUUGCAUACUGUUCGAUAUUGUUUGAAUUUUGUAAAUUAUAUUCCUUGGUGUUAUCUUGUGAUUUAGUAAUGUCACUUGUUAUUAUAUUAGAGCAUUCUUGUCGUUGGAUUUUUCUUCUCUAACCCCUCGCCUUUGAUAAUGACAAAGUCUCGCGAAGACAUAGAAAAUUUUGCACAUACCUCUAUGGCAUGGUAAUUUGAACGGCCAAUAAAUAGUGGCAACCAAUUGUUACAUCCAUUCGAGGGUGCGAAAUUUCCUCUAUGUUACCAUUCAAUUCUUGAGCCGGUUAGCAAAAUCACGUCUCUAUUGUUCUUAAGUGUCUAACAUGUUUACCAACUGUUAUGUGUCUAUAUCCUCUUCGAGAUGGAUUCGCAAGAUCAUGGAAUAUGUAGUUCACCAACCUCCUUAGUCAAGACCCUCAAAUUGACCACACUUAUGGUAGUCAAAGUGACCAAUCUCCUGUGACUUUUGAUGGCUCUCCACCCUUACCCCAAGUAGAGCCUCUCUUAGUAAGAAAAUCAGCCAAGGGUGCAAAUUUCACCUCUAAAUAAGACAAGUUACUUGUCUCGGCAUAGCUGAAUACCGUAAAAAUUAGUCAAUACUUCAAUGCAUAUAAACAUAGUACAACUGAGCAGAGUGUUAGAUCCUUAAUACAUCAGUGGUCAGUCAUUCAAAAGGCGACCAACAAAGUUUAUGCUAAACUGACCCAAGUCAAAGGUUUGAAUCAAAGUGGCAUGACCGAGCAAGACAAGUUUGACAAAGCAUAGAUCAUCAUUGGAGAAUACCUCUUUUCAAUUCGAACCUUUUUGACACCUAUUGAAGGACCAACCCAAAUGGAUUCAGCAUUGCACAAAGGAUGGUCCCAAGCAAAGGUUGAUGAUGUCUCUGAUCCCAACUCGUACCUCAGCUGCUGUUGUAAAUUCAAUUUGUGAUAUCAAGGCCAAGAAUGUUCUAGACAAUGAUGUCAUUGAAUUAUAGAGGCCAAUGGGAAGGAAAGCUGAGAAAGCAAAAUGUAAGGCCCAAGGCAAGCCAGCAGAGAAGAUUGUUGAGCUAAGCAAGCUGAAGUAUACUCACUUAAAGGAGUCAUGCACUCAGGAGAAAGAGUUUUUUCAGUUCAAGGCUAAGAAGAUGCAAUAUAAUCGGGAAAUAGAGGGAAAUAAAAUCCAACAAAAGGACAAGAGACUAAGGUUAGAGGCCGAGAUACUCGAAUUCGCCCAGAGGGAAGCGGAUGAGAGAGAGAGAGAGAGAGAGAGAGAGAGAGAGAGAGAGAGAGGCAAAUCAUGCUAAUUGAUGUGACUACCUUGGCUGGACUAAAAUGGAUGUAUUUUCAGCAACGUCAAAGGGAAAUUGUGGCGAGACGCAAUGCUGAACAAAACUGACUUUGUUUUUUUAUGUAA